CGUGCUUAACACAUGCAAGUCGAGCGGUAAGGCCUUUCGGGGUACACGAGCGGCGAACGGGUGAGUAACACGUGGGUGAUCUGCCCUGCACUUCGGGAUAAGCCUGGGAAACUGGGUCUAAUACCGGAUAUGACCUCCUAUCGCAUGGUGGGUGGUGGAAAGAUUUAUCGGUGCAGGAUGGGCCCGCGGCCUAUCAGCUUGUUGGUGGGGUAAUGGCCUACCAAGGCGACGACGGGUAGCCGACCUGAGAGGGUGACCGGCCACACUGGGACUGAGACACGGCCCAGACUCCUACGGGAGGCAGCAGUGGGGAAUAUUGCACAAUGGGCGAAAGCCUGAUGCAGCGACGCCGCGUGAGGGAUGACGGCCUUCGGGUUGUAAACCUCUUUCAGCAGGGACGAAGCGCAAGUGACGGUACCUGCAGAAGAAGCACCGGCUAACUACGUGCCAGCAGCCGCGGUAAUACGUAGGGUGCAAGCGUUGUCCGGAAUUACUGGGCGUAAAGAGUUCGUAGGCGGUUUGUCGCGUCGUUUGUGAAAACCAGCAGCUCAACUGCUGGCUUGCAGGCGAUACGGGCAGACUUGAGUACUGCAGGGGAGACUGGAAUCCUGGUGUAGCGGUGAAAUGCGCAGAUAUCAGGAGGAACACCGGGUGGCGAAGGCGGGU
rnacentral:rRNA from 1 species